rnacentral:rRNA from 1 species
GCCUNGGGGUCUGGGAUAGCUGCGGGAAACUGCAGGUAACACCGGAUACGCACGAGAGUGGAAAGUUUACGCCCUGGGAUGGGCCCGCGUCGGAUUAGGUAGUUGGUGGGGUAACGGCCUACCAAGCCUGCGAUCCGUAACCGGUCUGAGAGGAUGAUCGGUCACACUGGGACUGAGACACGGCCCAGACUCCUACGGGAGGCAGCAGUGGGGAAUCUUGGACAAUGGGGGCAACCCUGAUCCAGCGACGCCGCGUGGGUGAUGAAGGCCUUCGGGUCGUAAAGCCCUUUUGCCGGGGAAGAUGAUGACGGUACCCGGAGAAGAAGCACCGGCUAACUCUGUGCCAGCAGCCGCGGUAAGACAGAGGGUGCUAGCGUUGUUCGGAAUUACUGGGCGUAAAGGGCGCGUAGGCGGCUCGUUUAGUCGGGUGUGAAAUCCCGGGGCUCAACCCCGGAACUGCAUUCGAUACUGGCGGGCUAGAGACCGAGAGAGGUGGGUGGAAUACCCAGUGUAGAGGUGAAAUUCGUAGAUAUUGGGUGGAACACCGGUGGCGAAGGCGGCUCACUGGCUCGGUUCUGACGCUGAGGCGCGAAAGCGUG